GCCAAACAAAUACAACUAAACAAACACCGUAAUCGUAAUCGUAAUCAUCAUAACCUGAAGCUCAGAGCUCUACAGUACAGUGUUUAUUGUUUAGUGUGAUAAGUGUUUGAGUUGUGUUGAUUUGGAUAAGAAUUGAAUGUGUUUUCAUAUGAUAUGAAACUUAGUGGUUAUUUUAAUACCAUUUGGAGAAGUAAACAUAGUUCGUGAUUGGUUAAAGUUGAGUGGAACUAUCUUUCCACCGGAAAAUCAACAUCCAGCCAGACCUGUAGAAGGAUUUCAAUGCAAGCGAAGUGAAGUUAGUGGAAGACGUUUCUG
rnacentral:misc_RNA from 1 species